UACGGAGGAUGCGAGCGUUAUCCGGAUUUAUUGGGUUUAAAGGGUGCGUAGGCGGAUCGUUAAGUCAGUGGUCAAAUUGAGGGGCUCAACCCCUUCCCGCCAUUGAAACUGGCGAUCUUGAGUGGAAGAGAAGUAUGCGGAAUGCGUUGUGUAGCGGUGAAAUGCAUAGAUAUCACGCAGAACCCCGAUUGCGAAGGCAGCAUGCCGGCUUCCUACUGACGCUGAAGCACGAAAGCGUGGGGAUCGAACAGG
rnacentral:rRNA from 1 species